AUGGCAGCGCCCGCGCUGCCCACGCCGCGGCACCACCACGUGGGGCCGCGCGGGCCUUUCUGCGAGGUGUACGAGCCGGCUGAGGACACGUAUUUGCUGCUGGACGCGCUGGAGCUAGACGCGGCCCAGCUCCGAAACGCCCGAGUUGAGAUCUGCCUUGAAGUAGGCUCAGGCUCUGGUGUGGUUUCAACAUUUCUGGCUUCCAUUGUUGGACCCAAAGCAUUAUAUAUAUGUACAGACAUCAACCCUACAGCAGCUUUUUGUACCAUGGAGACAGCUCUACUUAACAAAGUUCACGUUCAGCCAAUUAUUACUGACCUGGUCACAGGACUGGUACCAAGAUUAAAUGGGCAAGUUGAUGUAUUGCUGUUUAAUCCACCUUAUGUGGUGACCCCUCCUGAAGAGGCAGAAAGCCAUGGAAUAGAGGCUGCCUGGGCUGGAGGCAAAAAUGGCAGAGAAGUAAUGGAUAGACUUUUUCCUUUAGUAGCAGAUCUGCUUUCAACAGGAGGAUUAUUCUAUUUAGUCACAAUUAAAGAAAACAAUCCAGAGGGUCUCAAACUGUGGUCCAUGGACCAGAACUGGUCUGUGAGCUCCAUUCAGGUGGUCCGCAGAAUGGUUGCGGAACAAUCAAGAAUAUUUAUGCUUGUAAGAUGAAAUUUUGGAAAUCAUGAAACAGUGUGGUUUAAGGGGUGCUAAAGUACUUUCCAGACGAGCAGGAAAAGAAAUGCUCACAAUUCUCAAAUUCAGCAAAUCUUGAUGGCUGCUCCUAACCUUCUGUAUGCUGGAGAUUGUUAAACCAUAUGUGGUUAAUUUUUCUCUAUGUCAAGCUAUUUUGUGUCUGAACCAAAACUCAACCUACCUCCUUAGAAAAAAAAAUCUUGUCAUCUCUUGAGCACUAUAGGCAAAUUAAUCAAGGUUGUCAUUGUUCCUGCACUGUGACGGUGUCAGCAUACUGUGACUAGCAGUCCAUAAGAAGGCAGUUGUUUCUGGGCUUUGGUCUUAUAUGUAGUGUGGUAGAAGAGCUGAAAGAUGCACUUUAAAGGUGCAGUGAGAUUUCAUAUAACAUUUAAUUGAAAUGAAGACAGGUGAAGAAGCGAUAGGACACAGCAUUUACCUCAAGGGAGGGAGCCACAAAUCAUUACCCCUCUCAUCUAUUUGUAUAUGCCUGAGAGACCAUUCCCUUGAAAUGGACUAUUCUACCUUAGAUUCUGAUCCAGGUGGAGACAUUUUCACAUUACUACAGGUGAACUCAUAGUUUUGCCCGAUCUUCCUCCUGAAUUUGCUCUUAUUUCUCUGCCACCUUUGCUACAAAAAAGCUUUUUGGCUGUUGCAGUUUUUCCAGGCUGUGCACAUGUGUGCAUAAGAGAAUUUUUUUUGUUCAGAGACUCCAUUGUAAUAUUGCUCCCCUCUUUGUUUUCCUUCCCAAGCCAAAUGUUUGUCAGUCUUAAUAUUCUGGGCAUUUGACUGCUUGGAAUCCUUGAGCAGCCCCUGAGGAUCUGCCACAAAGACUUUUUCUGAGGCUAGAUCAGAAGCCACAAAGGUCCUUUGUUUUUCCCUUGUAUUAAUGUUGUCCAAAUAGGACAGUGUGGCUCUUGCAAAACCAGACUGUAGACAGGAUAGCUUCAUCUGUGAGGUAAGGGUGUCAACAUGUCUAUCUGACAUUGAUCCCUGUUUCCUGGCACAGAACAGGCAAAGUAGAAUUCUUCUCAUGUGAAGUCUGUACAUGCUGCCUCAAACUGGGAGUUUCUCCUUUAGAUUUAUCUAGUUCAGCCUAUGGGGGACAAUCUGCCAUGUCUGAGAAGUAGAAGCAUCAUGGCAGGAUGGCUCUCUAGAACUGGUUGAAACCAACGUUCCUUUUAAUACCUGAUCUGGAGGUGGGGGAGGAGGAAGAAAGGAGAUUGCUCACUACCACUAGAAAGAAAAAAAAACUUGGCAAAAACACCCAUGAGGAGCAAAAUGAGCUACUGGUAAAUUGUGGUUAGAGACAGGAAAUUAGGUGGCCAGUUAGAGAAAAGGCAUGGCCAUCAGCUGCCACCACUCAACUGCCGUAGGAAUGCUUCUCAAACCUGUGGGAGAAGUUGGGCUGUGGAAAUUGAUAGUUAAUGCCCAUUUGCAGCAAAACUGAUGAGAGCAGUUUCACUACCAUCUGUUUUCUACCUAACAGAAAGCUGGCCACUACUUGAAGGCAGCAUGUAUAAACCAAAUAUGUUUGACCUGCUACAUCAUAAGUAAUUGCAAUGCCGUGCUUAGCAGCAGGUAUAACUUCUGUAUUUCCUUGCUUAGCAAACCAUAGAAAAAAUGCCAAGAUUCUCUUGCUACCAAAAUUCAUCAGGGACUGUUAAGUUCCUGCAGCUUAUCAGGACCAAGUUGUAGUCUAAAGGGUCUCUUUCAUGUGAGGGUUUUGUGUUUUUUUUCUUUGCAGAAUCUGGCUUUUCACUAACCAUGAAUACCCAUCAUAAAAUUAUAAUAUACACUGGUGUAGAACAGAACUUCAACUUGGUUAUCAGGGAGGGCUGGUUUAUCUUUGAAGCUAAAAAAAAAACCCAAACCAACCCUUAAAUCUGUACCGCUUUCAGCUAGCCAUUUCACAUCAAAAGGACAGGUGGCUGUUGGUCAGAUACUUAACAGCAACACAAUCUUAGUGCUCUAACAUAUUGUUACAGCAGUAAUUGACCAAGUUCAACAUGGAGCCAAGACUGUUCUCAUACCCUAAGCUAUUUUGAUGAAAUGGAAUUAGAAUUCCUAAACUUAAGUGCUAUUUUAUGUAAUAGGACUAGGAGUGGUAAUGCAACUAGUUAGCUUUAUCUUCAAGUUUUCUGAAUAUAAAAUAUGUAGUAAAACAUGAAAUUAUGCAUUACUCUAGCUACUUACAAGCUAGUAUAUGAUGUGAAACCCUGGCCUUGUUAAACUCAGUGGU